rnacentral:lncRNA from 10 species
UCUUACCUACCCACGGACUUUGCUCCCAUCUACUAAAGAGCUCUGCUUUGAAAAGACUCCUCAUCUACUUUCUUUUUAUUGGAGAAUGAUAUUAAGAAAAAAGAUGUGGACACCAGUUGUGAUUAUUGUAUUGAUGUGUCAUUGUUUUUGGGUUCUCACUGAACAGAGCUAAGAAAUACAAGUACGUAUAAAGGCAUACCUUGGAGAUACUGUGGGUUUUGUUCCAGGUCACCAAAAUAAAACAAACAGAGCAAUAACACGCUCGAGAGAUGCCAACCUAUCAAAAUCUUUGCUUCAAAUGGAAGGAAGCUACUGGAAGAUAUGCUCCACCAAAAUGAAGAAUAAAAUCGAGAAAGAAUAUGACAUGAGAUGAAACACAAAAGAGGAGGGACAGGAACUCCCAGGAGAACAAGGUGUGACAGGCAGUGAUGACCCACUGAAGUGGACCUAAUACUAGGCUUGGCUCACUGGAGAGGGAAGACAGACUGGAGAUACCCUGAAGACUACUACUCACUAUAAUAGUCCCAGAAAAUGUGAUGAAGGCCUGAACAAGGGAGACACCAAUGAAACAGCAAAGAGUGAAGAAAUAUGUAGGACCUGUCAAAAAACUAGAUGUAGAGGGAUAGGGAGCGGAAGAAGCCAAAGAUUUUUCCAGUUUCAAGUGAUUGCAAACUCUUAGAGAAAGGAUAAUGUCUAGCAGUUUUAAAUACAGACUACAUGUGAAAGACAGAAGAAAAAAGGGAAAUCAUAGCGGGUGGGGCCAAGAUGGCUGACUAGAAGCAGACGCGAUCAGAGGCUCCCAUUGAAAAGAACCAUAACACUGUGUGAAUCCUGCACCGGCAACCGAGGUACCCAGGUUCCAUCAUCAGAACUGACUAUGUGGCUGGUGUGACCCGCAGAGAGGAAGGAACACCAAACUGAACAACUAUUCACAUAAGAAAGCACCUUCAUAAGACCCAAA